GACAACAUACGUGAUAAGACCUGACAUUGUCAUUUGGAGCCUGACAUCGUCAUCAAUUUAGGCCACAGGUCAAGAAAAUGGAUCGUAAAAUAGAUUCCUGGAAAACGAUGUGGGAAUAUUUGGGACACAGACCGUUUUGAACAUGACAGGGCAGACAAGCCACGUGAAUUAUUAAUCAAUAAAUACCAAUUGGCAGCUAAUUUGUGUAAAAGUAGCGUUUCCAGAGCAAAUUUAAACAACGUGCCCGGUUGUUGUUGUUGUUUUGAACAUGAAUUAGCACAAAGCUAACAGGCGUUAGCCGCGCGGCUAACUUGUAAGUUCGUGGCGUCGUAACGAGGGCAAAAGCUAAGCCGGUGACAAAGUGUCUUUCUCGGUGUGCGGUGUCACUCGGAGACGCCGACAGGCCGAGUGUGCUGGUUCGUCUGCGGGUUCGAGUUUGGCUUUGGUGAACCGAGAUAUGAGCGGCACAUUUGGGUGUGUACGGCUAAUGACAGCUAUGACGUUAGCCGUCACUGGCUAACAGCUGGCUAACGUCACUAUCCGCUCGCUAUCUUUUGGGUCCAAAAUGGGGUCCAAAUGCUUCACAGGCGUCCGUGUAUAUCACACAACGAGCGGCGUCAAUUCCAUCGCUCGGAAACGACAGAGCUGCCGCGCUAGCCUGUUAGCUCGAACCCCUCCGGCUGCAGCGGCGUCUGAGGCCGGCCGCGGCUAACAGCUACACCGCGAAGGAGCCGCUGCGCUCGGCGUUGGACGUUUAUUUCGCCGCGGCCGCUUCGGGAGGAGCCGCCUCCCCGGUUAGCCACCGGCUAAUCGUCUCGCUUACUCACCCAGCCAAGAGACGACGACGCUGCCGUAUGCUGCUUACUGAGUCCCCCCCAAAAACAAAAGUAGGCACUUUAAAGUCCGGUCGGUUUAGUGAAACAUUCGAUUAUUUCUUUCUUCCAGUAGGCUCCGCCACUUGUCUCAACUUCCCUGUUGGCUUUGAACAAGCGAUGAUGACAGAUCGUAUGACCGCAACUGGCAAUCCUCCUACGUCUCGCCGAGCCCCGCCAAUCAUAUGCUACACUCCAUUCUUAUCAUUUUGGGAUGAUUUCUAUUAUAUGGAUUAACUCCUCGCGGGAUGAAAAACUAAACAACACUCAGAAAUCGACAUAAAAUGGUGAUGUUUUAGGACUGCAGAAAUAGAACUCGUCCGUUGUCGACUACGCGUCAUAUAAAAUAAUCUUAUUUUCUCCUUGACAAUAUUUUCCCUGCAAGUUUUCCUAAUGUCGCGUUUAUCAAGAAAUGCUCUCCUUUUGCGCGGUAAUGAAAAAUAUCUCAGAUUUAACACCGAGUUUGAAAUGUUGCUAGGCAACGACAAACUGUUAGGAAGCUAACCAUCAUGUUUCCUCCUCUUGGAAGAUAUACUUUUUUUUGUUUUGAUUUAAAAUGGCUGUAAAUAUUAAAAGUCGAAGGGACUUCAAUAUGUCCGACCCUCUGAGGAUCACAUACAUGCCGAGGGCUGGAAAACGAAUUCCAACUGGAGGCAGCGCUGCGGACUGCUUACAAGAACCAGAAAGGGCCCCGACGCCGCCCAUGGUUCAGAAGUACCACAACAGCAACCAACCGGGGCCAGGCGUGAUCCGAUUGCACCACGGAAAGGCAGAUGACCCCAAAGUGGCCGAUACACUGAUUCAUGGCCUAUGCAAUAAGGCUUCACUACCACUCACUGCAGCAAUGUUAAUCAACCCGCCGCCUCAGAGCAAGUUUAAACAAAAACUACAAGAGAUGGAAGAGUCGGUGUACGCCUCACGCCAGAAGGCACCACUGGGCCGCAAGCCAGAGAGCGCCGGACUUCCCCCGUGGUGCAAUGAGAGAACCACGUACGGAAAGAAAACUUAUCGAGACGUGGAGGCCGGCAAGCUUAUUCAUCCUCCGAAAACGGUAAGGGAUUUGGAGAAGGAGGAAGAGCAGGGGCACGAGCUUUAUGUUCGCACACACAGUGGAUACUUUAUUGGUGAGCAGAUUGACAGGAAGUACAACUUCAAUAAAAACUGUCGUUUCGGGGUCAGGACACCUUAUUUAACAAAUGGAAGCCUGGUCAACAGAUGUAUGCAUUGGAUGGGAGAAUCCAGGUCCGUCAAGCUAAGAUCCGAUUGGAAAAGACAUCCUGACAGCAAGGAAAAGUUGGAACAACUAAUUGGCAAUGUGAACAACAGCAAGAAGAGAGGAAACAACGUGGAGGUGUCACCAGACCACACCUUUGGAAUGGUCAUACCGCAAGAUGUUUUCGGUGUUGCGGAACUGAUCCAUGCAGGAAAACAGCCGGCGGGAAAACGCCCGAGGGCCGACGAACGCCACUAUUGCAUGGCCAAUGCCGUGCGGCACAACCUCAAGAUCAUCAAUUUCCAAAAAUUCUCAACAUUGUUGGAGGCCUUCAGGCACUACGACAAGAAAGGCCAAGGGCAUAUUGACAAGGAAGAUCUGCGGGAGGUGUGUCAUCACUUCAAGGUGGAGGCCAGCGAUGCGGUCUUAGACGACGUUUUGGAUCAUUGUGAUACGAAUGGCGAUGGAUUCAUAGACUUCCUAGAUUUCUCCAAUUUCCUCAACUUUAAGGAGAAGAUGCCGCUGGAAAGACGGGAUCAGCACCUGGUCACAAAUGCCCAGUUCCAGACUGGCUCCCAACCCGAUCCCAAAACGCGAACGUCUGAACUUCCCAGUCCCGGCGCUCUGUUAAAAAGCGACGACCUGGAGCCGUUCAGGAUCGGAAGCUCCCAGAGGCCCGUGAAAACCGUCACACAACACGAAUCUGCUUUGGACAGAUUUGUCACCACUUCUUCCUUUAUCGGCGCCACCAGCAGUGACCCGCGAACAUUUAAAACUCGCACCUUUGGGAUCCCGACAAUCCGGAGUGACAUCGCGCCCCCACGCUUUCGUAGGGUCAACGACAAUGUCAACUACGGUGACGUGACCGUGGCGGUGGAUCUUCUGCUGCCGUCGGUAUACGGACGCCAGGGGAUCUAUCAGGAAGACUUAUUCUGUCCCCGCUCCAAGAAAGAGAUCACAGAGAUUUUCAGGAACUUGGGCACGGACAUUCCCGAGAAAAUAUUCGAUGAGGCCUGGAAGGUGGCGUCCACGCGGCACCCCAACGGCGACGUCUGCGUGGAUGCUUUCCGAACGGUACUCAAGCAAAUCAAAGCUUUGUAGCGACAAGAACAUUGUGUUUUAGCAAUUUUUUUCAUAUUUAGGUAAUAAUUGUAGCAAUUAAUGUCACCAUGUAAUCGUAAAACGUAGGAUUAAUCAAAGAGUGAAUAUGAGACGUGACGUCUAAUUGUAGCAGAGACAAAACAAUUGACUAACGACGUCUCAAAGCUCUUUUGACACUUUCGCUAAGCGGAUUAAUCGAGCGUCACGUUGGCGCGUCGCCUCAUCUCGUAACUGUGAAAUAGUUUUAAAUAAAUCAAAAUAUUCAUUAAUAGCAUGUACGUUUUUUUGUAUUCGUCGCUGUUUAAAGGGAGUGACGCGGCGGCUUGACAAAUUGUUUAAAGGCCGCGUCCGUCGUCGCGUCAACACCGAAUCGCUAAUCUCAUUAGCGACGACGCAGAAAAAUUAAUCCUCUCACGUGUGAACUGAUCGACUGCGUCGACAUGUUGCUUUUGUGUGCUUGAUGUUUUUUCUGUUUUGUGUCUUUUUCUGUUCGCGCGGUCAUUGUAUAAUCAUGUUCAAAAAAAAAAACUUGAAGAGCUGGUAGUCAUCAUCAGAGCGGUUGAUUAGGGCUUUUUAGCGCCUGACCUUUGUUUGCUGGGGUUUAAAUUAUUUUAAAAGAAGCAAUGAACGUGCCACCCGCACCUUCAUGACUGCCAGGGUACACAGAAUUUGGACUAGAUGGCGCACUUAUAGAAUUCUUCACAACUUUUUUUUAUAUUUGGAACUUGAGCUUUAGUUUGAGCACAGUUGCUAGCUAGCUAGCGCUAGAUUCGGAUACCUCGCAGGCCAACCUUUUCCAAAAUUUUGAAGCAGGAUGCUGCCUUCACAUGUUCUGGGAAAGAUGGUCCUUACCACUUGUUAAUCAGUAAUUACAAGUAAAUAAUAACAAUAAAUUUUAUUUGUAGAGCGCUUUUACAGAUGAUCAAACACACUUAAGAGUACAUCCUGUUCAUGUGCUUUUGUUGUCAUAGCAAAAAUACAUAAGAGAUGGACUUCAUUUUUAUGUGUUGCAUGGGCAAAACUGAUGUAGACCUUUUAAUUCAUCUACUACAAGAAGAGUACAGUAAAUGGUAAAUUUGUACCCAAAUAUUAUAACAAACACUUGGUUAAAAAAAAUAAUUGUAUUAAAAAAUGGUUUUAUAAGUAUGUACAGUACCUUAUUUUGCCGAUGUCAACAUAAUCUGCAAAUGGAUGACAAAUCUUCCUUAAAAAGAAAAAAUAUAUAUACAUAUACACAAAUUCUUGUUCACGCUCCGCCAUCUUGAAAAAAGUCCUCACGUCUCAGAAAUUGGGGUUAAUAAUAAAAUCCUAGUUGUCCAGUAGAAAAUACGACUUGAGUGGGUGUGUGGUAUUUACAAUAAUUCCGACAUCGCGUGAAGGCGUUAUUACAUAUACUCAACCAUUUUUUAAAUUGAAAUUUGGCAGGCUUGUUAAAAACACUCGCAUGUGAAAUUGUUAAAUUUUGAAAAUUUUGAAUGCUUGUUAACACUUAUGUGUAUGAAAUUGUUGAUUUUAAUUUUGAUUUUACAGGAUCUGUAACUGUUGUCAUGGCUUUUUUUGCUUAGGAAUAUUAUCUAAAAAGAUGUUUUUCUUAAUCUGAAAUACAUCAUCUUAACUUUUUGGUCAACUUGCUUUUGUUAUAAUAGCAAAUAAACAUAUUAAACAGAAGUGUAAGUAUGCUCAAUCAAAACUGAGCUCUAUUACAUAAAUUUCAAUAAAUGUUAACCAUUUUAGAAAUACAUUUCUAUGGGAGAAGUGGAUGGAUAAAAUUAAUUUAUUGCAUCAAGGGGUUAGCAUACAUUUCACUAUUUGAGAUAGUAACAAAAGACCAGUGAUGCUUAAAGGGAACCUCAGACUUAAAGACUUGUAGGCUCUAAUAAGCCUCAAUUGUUCUCUUUUACUAAAAUAUGUUAUUGGAAACACAUAUAAUAUAGCCAUUGAUUUAAAAAUCGAUAAUAGUUUUGACCUACGGAGGGCGCCAUGUUUCAAGCGCCAAAUGCACGCUGAGGGUGAUGACGCUGCUGGGAGUAUAGCGGUGCUAGCUAGCAAGCGAAGCUACUAUGACGACUGGGAUGAUUUUGUCACAUUCUGCUGCUGGUCAGAUCAUUUUGUUACAGAGAUGUGGGAUGAGUUCCCGUAGUUGUACCUGCAUCCAAUUCCAGCUCAUUAAGCAGUAUUUUAAAACCGAUCCUAGGCGGCUUGCCGUGAUCAAGCGAGCCGAACUUUCUUUUCAAUUGCGUUUCCCUUUCAGGUUUUACCUACAGUGUGUGUGUGUGUGUGUCACAUGUGGGUUGCGUUUCCUUCAUAAGGAAAAUCAUGAGUCUGAACGUCACGCGGAAGAAUAGUCCUGUGGUCUAUGUGCUCGUCUGUCGCACGGGAAACGCGGGUUUGAAUCCCGCCGGAGACUUUCAUUCAAUGCUUUUGCUGCUUGUUUUGUGAAAUAUCAGCAGCUCUCUCCUGCUCAUCACUUUUCUGCUCGGGUUCGAAUUGGAAGGGCAUAAGCGACGACAUGUUUAUGUAGCUAAUGAGUGACACUGUGGAAAUACGGCAGCGCUGCCCAGUGACGUCAGCGCCCAGAGUGCAUUGCGUCGUCAACAACAAUGGCGAUCUACUAGUUAAACUAAUUUUUCAAAUCUUAUAAAAACAAAAACAUUGAAGGGUUUAAAUAUCAAAUUCUUAUAACUCAUACUAACAUUUAUCUUUUAAGAACACAAGUCUUUCAGUCCAUGGUUCCCUUUAAAAAAGAAAGCCCAGAUGGUACAGACAAAAAUGACAUGACAACUAUUGAAUUUGUGCAUUUUUACUGUGCAAAACCAAAAAAAGAUGUUGCAACUGUUAAAAGUUUGAAAUAAAUUUACAAAAUAAUGGGAUACUAUAAAUAAGAGUGAAUUCAAAGGGCUUUGAAGGCAUUUGUACGUGGCGCGUCCACUUUUUGAAAAAGAUUUAAAUCCAUUCAGUCAUUUGCGUUCCAGUUCCAGUGCCAAACGGUGGUCACUAUCCAAUCUUCAGAUCCUCCUUUUAUGAUUUCACAAUGGAAUCUGACAAACAUAUGUCACAAAAAUCCAAGUUGGUCAUGUGAAAUGGCAUUCAAGAAAUUUGUCAUGCUUUGAUGAAAGAAAACAACACUACAUUAAAGCUAAUACUAAUAUACAGUAACGAGUGCAGUAUAUGUGGGGGGGAAACAAAAAAAUCUAAUUAAAUUUGAAGUUGUUUUUGAGUGUAGGCGUGAUAAUUUACAUAAUUGAUUUAAUGCAGUGUGUGUAGGCAGAAUCAGCUAUGGAAUAGAAAAAAAAUACAAAUAAAUCCCGAUGCCUGCUGUGUAUGAGAGAUAAGCGACAAUUGUUUUAUUAAAAAUAUAUAUCCUAUUGCAUCAUUUGUAAGUCGGCGGGAUUUUAUACAUGAUUUGCAAGUGAAUAAAUGAAUUCAAUCAGGUGUGUAGUUGUUGAAAGUGGUCUAAAACGUUUCCAAUGCUAUUUUGCAAAUGAAUCAACGAUGCCUACUCAUAGACGGCCGUGGCAACUCUUUUUGGCGGGAAGCCGUCCGCUCCGGGGGCCACUCGGAAUAUUUUGACGGCUUCAGGGUCAUCGGGUCCGUCCGGCGUUGUCAGAUACCAAAGCCUCAUGGCGAUCGUGCAAAACUUUCUACCUGCAAAACAGAAACACAUUCCCCAUGUACAGUGUAUCACAAAAGUGAGUACACCCCUCGCAUUUCUGCAGAUAUUUAAGUCAGGGGUCGCGUUAACCGAAUAUUUUCCGCUGUUGACCGGUUUUUUAAAACGGUGACGGAAAAAACUAAAGUCCAUCUGUCAUUUUGACAGGUUGCAAUUCACAACCCAGACCACAGGAUGGCGAGUGAGUAUAUUAAUUAGCUAUUGUCUCUCUUGAUGCAUGACGUCGUUGGCCUUACUCGGAGAAAUGUCAAGGCAACUGAGUGUCCAAACUAAGGCUACAUUCAUACUACAGGUCUUAAUGCACGAAUCCGAUUUUUUCGUAUUUUUCCGACUCGAGUGAGGCAUUAAUUUGAAGGUCUGAACGUGAGAAGUCGCAUAGAACGGGACCAUUUCAAAUCCGAUCUGGGUCACUUUCGUAUGUGGUCUAAAUCCGAUCUGGGCCACAUUUUUUCAGACUGUCGCGGCGGUCUGUACUGUCCAGUCCCGCAAAUCGGAUUUAAUGCAGCAAUUACGUCAUCAAAAAGCGAGAGAAGGUACGGUAGCUACGGUAGCGAUGCAGCUGUACGUUAUUAGCGCCUAGCUUGCCUUGAACACGGCUUUUUAGGAAGGGUCGGACUUGACAACAGUCAUAAAAAAAAAAUUAAAAUAGGUUUGAGGAUAAGUCUGAGAAUGAUCGGUUUUCUCUCUGCUCCAUAUAAGCAAUAUUUCAACAUUGCUUACACGGCCGAGAGUCGGGGCAAACUGCCCGUAUGUGUGUGUGACAUGCACGAACAGUGCGUGCAUACUAUUGAUCCAUAUACUUUGAAUAUAAGCCUAAACGGGGAUUACAUAUGCCUGUAGAAGCAUCAAAACAAAUGACCAUACAAUCACACAUGCUGGCUGUCGUUCGUCAUUCCAGGGAUAUCAUGUUUUGCUUAUUAAAAAGAGGACACAAAUAACAGGCAUAAAUAAUUGGCAUAAGUGAGUACACCUCUUUGAAAAAACGUACAUCCCUAAAUGUCCAAAUUGAGUAGUGCUUGUCAUUUUCCCGCCAAAAUGUCAUGUGACUCGUUACAGGAGUGCUGUCAGCAUUGCUGCAGAGAUUGAAUAGGUGGGGGGGUCAGCCUGUUAGUGCUCAGACCAUACGCCGCACUCUACAUCAAAUUGGUGUGCAUGGCUGUCACCCCAGGAGGAAGCCUCUUCUGAAGACGGUAGACAAGAAAGCCCGCAAACAGUUUGCUGAAGACAAGUCAACAAAGCCCAUGGAUUACUGGAACCAUGUUCUAUGGUCUGAUGAGACUGGCGGGCUUUCUCAUGUACCGUCUAUAUACACUCACCGGCCACUUUAUUAGAUACACCAUGCUAGCAACGGGUUGGACCCCCUUUUGCCUUCAGAACUGCCUCAAUUCUUCAUGGCAUAUAUUCAACAAGGUGCUGGAAGCAUUCCUCAGAGAGUUUGGUCCAUAUUGACAUGAUGGCAUCACACAGUUGGUGCAGAUUUGUCGGCUGCACAUCCAUGAUGCGAAUCUCCCGUUCCACCACAUCCCAAAGAUGCUCUAUUGGAUUGAGAUCUGGUGACUGUGGAGGCCAUUUGAGUACAGUGAACUCAUUGUCAUGUUCAAGAAACCAGUCUGAGAUGAUUCCAGCUUUAUGACAUGGCGCAUUAUCCUGCUGAAAGUAGCCAUCAGAAGUUAGGUACAUUGUGGUCAUAAAGGGAUGGACAUGGUCAGCAACAAUACUCAGGUAGGCUGUGGCGUUCCAACGAUGCUCAAUUGGUACCAAGGGGCCCAAAGAGUGCCAAGAAAAUAUUCCCCACACCAUUACACCACCACCACCAGCCUGAACCGUUGAUACAAGGCAGGAUGGAUCCAUGCUUUCAUGUUGUUGACGCCAAAUUCUGACCCUACCAUCCGAAUGUCGCAGCAGAAAUCGAGACUCAUCAAUCAAUCAAUCAAUCAAUCAAUCAAUCAAAUUUAUUUAUAUAGCCCUUUACAAAAACCCGAAAGGCCCUCAAAGUGCUUUACAACAAAACAUGGCUCAAGAUAAAUAAAAGGCAGGAAAAUAUUAUACAAUGACAUUUAAAAAAUAAAGUAAAACAAAGAGCGCAUCACAAUAAAAGUCCAGCAAGUAAAACAAUAAAACCGAUAAAAUCGAAAAACAUUAAAAAAAAGUCCUUAAGCUAAUAAAACCAGGCUAUCCUAAUCUUUGUAAAAGGCGAGUCUAAAAAGGUGCGUUUUUAGCCGAGACUUAAAAAGACCUACAUCCGUGGUGGUGCGGAUUUCGGAGGGAAGGCUGUUCCACAGCCUGGGGGCAGCAACCGCAAAGGAUCGGUCUCCCCACUGUUUAAGUUUUGACCUCGGAACAUCUAAAAAAAAAGCUGGCCGGUCGAGCGAAGAGUUCUGCCAGAGUUACGAAAAGUUAAAAUUUCCGAUAGAUAUGAUGGAGCCUGGCCAUAAAUAGAAUUAAAAACAAACAGUAAAAGUUUGAAAUCAAUUCUAAAAUGGACUGGAAGCCAGUGGAGUGAUGAUAGCACGGGGGUAAUAUGCUCACGUCUAGGUGUACCUGUUAAAAAUCGAGCAGCAGCAUUUUGAACAAGUUGCAGCCGAGAAAUCGAGGACUUGGGUAGGCCAACAUAAAGUGCAUUGCAGUAGUCCAGCCUUGAACUUAUAAAAGCGUGAAUUGCUUUUUCAAGGUCAUGGCGACUAAGAAAAGGCUUCACUUUGGCUAAGAGACGGAGCUGGAAAAAACUUGCUCUUACAACAGAACUAAUCUGCUUUUCAAAGUUAAGCCUGCUAUCGAAUAUCACUCCGAGAUUUUUAACGUGCGUCUUAAAAAUGUCAGCCGGAGCACCAGAGUUGGGCUCAAGGGCUUUCAUCAUGGAAGGUGUGCCAAAAGUAAUAAAUUCAGUUUUGCUCUCGUUAAGGUGUAAAAAGUUUUGUGCAAGCCACUGCUUCACAUCAGAUAUGCACUCCAUCAAUUUAGCAAGAGCAGUUUUUUUGUUAGGUCUCAGGGGCAGAUAAAGCUGCAGGUCAUCAGCAUAAAAAUGAAAAGUGAUAUUAUGUUUUUUUAUAAUUGAUCCUAAAGGUAGGAGAUAAAGCGCAAAAAGAACAGGCCCUAAAAUAGAGCCUUGCGGUACCCCGCAAGACAGAGAAGAUUGUGAGGAGGAAAAUUCCCCAAUCAUUACCGAGAAUGUUCUAUGUUGUAAAUACGAUUUAAACCAUUUUAAAGCGUUACCACGGAUACCUAUGAAAUGUUCUAAACGAGAUACAAGGACUGAAUGGUCAACUGUAUCGAAUGCUGCUGUGAGGUCCAGUAAAACAAGGAUAGCCGGGUUUCCAUUAUCCACAGAAAGAGCAAUGUCGUUAUGAACUUUUAACAAUGCUGACUCAGUGCUGUGUCUGGACCUAAAACCUGAUUGGAACUUGUCAAGGGUGGAAUUCGUCUCUAAGAAGGUUUGCAAUUGAAUAAAAACAACUUUUUCUAAAACUUUGGAAAGGAAAGACAAGUGGGAGACAGGUCUAAAAUUGGACAGCACAGAGGAGUCGAGAUGGGGUUUUUUAAGAAGGGGUCUGACUACAGCCUGUUUGAAGGCAGCUGGGACAGAACCGGAACUGAGAGAGGUGUUUAUGAGGGACAGCAGACUUGAUCCAAGGCAACUAAAGACUUCCUUUAGAAGGCUAGCUGGUAUUACGUCUAAUGGACAGUUAGUGGGUUUCAUGCCACUAACUAUUUCGGUGAGAGUUGACAAUGAAAUAUGCUCAAAUUGCUCAAAGGCAUUGAGCAGUUCUGAAGGACGUACGUUAUCGGAUGAGAAACCAGAGUUGCAGACAUUUUGCCUAACUGAAGAGACCUUGUUUUGAAAGAAGUUGAGAAACUCUUCACAUUUGGCAACUGACACAUCAGUUAAAACAGUGGGUUGUGGGUUCAAAACAGAAUCAAUAGUGUUAAAAAGGAGUCUUGGAUGACUGGAGCUGUUAUUUAUAAUGGUAGAUAAAUAACUAGACUUGGCCUGUUUUAUGGCCUCCUGGUAGGCAGCUAAGGUGUCCCUCAGCAAUCCCAGAGAAACAUGGAGUUUGUCCUUUUUCCACUGGCGUUCAGCACGCCUGCAUUUUUGCCUGAGCAGGCGGGUAUUGUCGUUAAACCAUGGAGCGGCUUUGGGUUUGGAGCUUUUUUGCCGUAGAGGGGCAAUGGAGUCUAAGACAGCAGUGCAAGUGGAAUGGAAAAUGGAGAGAAGACUGUCGGAGCAAAGAGGAGAAGGCAGCGCGGCGCCAGGAUGCUGCUGUAAGUCUCCAAAAGCAGCCACAAACUCUCCUGAUGUGGAUGGAGUAAUGCGUCGUCAGUAGCAGGCUGGAGAUAUUGGCUUUCCGGCAGAAAAAAGGGCAGAAAAGUCGAAAAUGAUGGGAAGGUGGUCCGAGAUAGCAGUAUCCACAAUUUCUGUGAUGGAGACUGAAAGCCCAAGUGAAAUCACCAAAUCCAGGGUGUGACCUUGCUCAUGAGUUGGGGCACUCACAGACUGGGUGAGGCCAAAUGAGUCCAGAAGUCCUUUAAACUCAUUUGCCAGCUGAUUAGCAGAGCAGCAGACAUGGAUAUUAAAAUCCCCGCAAAUUAAAACCCUGCCAAAAUUUGGAAUAAAAUCUGAUAAAAACUCAGAAAACUCCGGGAUAAAAUCCUUGUUAGAACCAGGGGGGCGAUAUAUUGUGGCACAAAGCAAUGGGGGAGAAAGCCCGAUAGAGAAUAACUGCAGUUCAAAACUUGAAUAAUUUUGAGCAGUUAUUGGCCUGCAUCUAAAAUUGUCCUUGAAUACAACAGCCAGGCCGCCACCACGGCCAGUCGCUCGCGGGGUGUUGAAAAAACAGCAGCCGGAUGGGAGGAGCUCCGAAAAGGCGCUGUAUUCACCUGGUUUCAACCAGGUCUCCGUUAGAAAAAGGAAAUCCAAAUGAUGUUCCGAAAAAAACUCAUUCAAGAUAAACGUCUUAUUCGUAAGGGACCUUGUGUUAAUCAGCGCUGAGUGAACCAGGGAUCGCUCAGCCGGGGGGGUGGGGCCGCGGAGCGGGCGAAGGUUCCCCGGCACAGAGCCCCGCAGAGAGAGCCUCACCGGCCGACAACGCGGAAGUAGCGUCCCGAAGUCCCGUUGAGUCGGUUGAAGCCACCGAUAACGGAACUCCAAGGAAUUCCGUAGAUCAUAUCCCUUGAAGACAGUCGGGGGUCUAGCCGGUAGAUGAUGGCGAUCGCAGCGAUAGGACGCCAGGUAGGCUUUCAGUUUGACAGCAAUUCCUCCAGACCAUCAGACCAGGCAACGUUUUUCCAAUCUUCUAUUGUCCAAUUUCGAUGAACUUGUGCAAAUUGUAGCCUCAGUUUCCUGUUCUUAGCUGAAAGGAGUGGCACCCGGUGUGGUCUUCUGCUGCUGUAGCCCAUCUGCCUCAAAGUUCGACAUACUGUGCGUUCAGAGAUGCUCUUCUGCCUACCUUGGUUGUAACAGGUGGUUAUUUGAGUCACUGUUGCCUUUCCAUCAGCUCGAACCAGUCUGGACAUUCUCCUCUGACCUCUGGCAUCAACAAGGCAUUUCCGCCCACAGAAUUGCCGCUCACUAUAUAUUCUUCUUUUUCGGAACGUUCUCUGUAAACCCUAGAGAUGGUUGUGCGUGAAAAUCCCAGUAGAUCAGCAGUUUCUGAAAUACUCAGACCAGCCCUUCUGGCACCAACAACCAUGCCACGUUCAAAGUCACUCAAAUCACCUUUCUUCCCCAUACUGAUGCUCGGUUUGAACUGCAGGAGAGUGUCUUAAACCAUGUCUACAUGCCUAAAUGCACUGAGUUGCCGCCAUGUGAUUGGCUGAUUAGAAAUUAAGUGUUAACGAGCAGUUGGACAGGUGUACCUAAUAAAGUGGCCGGUGAGUGUAUAUAUUAAAUAAGCUGCACACAGACUACUUUUCAUUGCGUCAAAGUGUCAUUUUGUCAGUGUUGUCCCAUGAAAAGAUAUACUUAAAUAUCAACAGAAAUGCGAGGGGUGUACUCACUUAUGUGAUACACUGUAUUCGGCUUUUAAUAUACCUUUGCCAAAUUGAAGCAGAAAUUACCACAAUGUACAUUUUCGAACAACACACACUUAGUCGAGCAGUUAAAAAUGUUAACAAACUGACCUUGCACAAAGUCAACGGAAACCUCCUCCGGUAACACCAAUAUGAUGUCUUCCAUGGAGACUGCCAGAUUUUGCCUGUGACGCUCAGACAGGGGCCGACACCGCUCUUCCAUGUAGCGGAUCAUCUGGAAACCAAAAGAAACACAAAAUACAAAGUUAACUUGUGGCAUGCAUCAUUUUAAGAGCAAUUGUAGUUCAUUUAAUGAUAAUAAAUGUCAUUAAUGGUGUUAAGUAUAAAACUAAUAGACAGUUGGGUUGUGCGGCCAAUGUACUGUCACCCUUGACAAAACAGAAAAUAGUAUAGAAACCCAAUUCUGCAACAACAGGCUAUUUUAGAGAAGUACAGUAUGCUGUUGUGAUAAAUUUCAGGUUAUAAAAUGAUAAAUUGGACAUUUAACAUGACAACCUACAUUAAAACAGGAAAUAUGUUUGUUUGAAUGUUAAAACCAGCAAAAUAUGUCAAUACAGUGAUCCCUCUCUACUUCACGAUUUAAACUUUGCGCCCUCAGUCCAUUGCAGAUUUUUUUUCAAUAAAUACAUAAAUAAAUACAGAUGAGCUGUCCCGAUGCGAUCACGUAGUCUCCCUCUCUCUCCUGCUGCUUUUCUUGGUCUGGCAGCGCACUGGAGUUGCUUAUUAAAGUUAACGAUGAUUGACAGACGUUAAGGUUUGAUCUUGCCAGAGAUGCUGGGAAGCCGAAACAUCAAAAUUUUCGCACGCGUCAAUCAUCGUUUAGCUUGUUAAACAGUUGCUGUGGUAACUCAUUGUGUGUAAGUGAGCAGCUUGAGCGGAUUUUAAUGGACUCACUCAAUGAAGCAUUUAAUAAAGACAAGCAUUUUUCUACUUUAUUCUUGUUUAUAAAUAAUUCAGUGGGCCAGUAACAUGUUUGAAACCUUUUAUAAUUAUUACAUUUUAGGUUCUUCAAAAAACAUUUAUUAAAACAUAUAUGGCGGAAAACACAGACAAGGCUGAAAAAGCAGUUUCUGCUCUUACACCCUUCUUUAAAAUAAGCUGCUGUAUUUUAGGCCGAAAGUUGUUGUUUGAUAGAACAAUUUGUCUAUAUUCUGCCAUAGCAGUUUCAUGGCGCAUUAAGCCCCCAAACUAUUUUUAAUUUGUCCGUUUUACCCUGGAGACCCCUGUUUACAGACACCUCGCAACCGCUUUUGUGUCAACCAAGCCAUAAAAAGAAUUAUAUUUAUUUGAAAUGUCUAUCAUUUUUAGCUUAGAAUCAUUGAUGUCUAGUAUUUAGUGAAAAAAAAGACGAAAAGAAAAAUAAUUUACUUGCAUAUUUUAAACUUAUUUAAACAUAUUUUAAGCUUUUAAACAAAUUACGUCACAAUUAUAAAAAUAGUGUCUGUAAAUAGGUCACAGAUAUCUACCUCAUAAUUAUCGCUAAACUUUAUUUAUUUUUUUGUUCCUGUCACAUUUUCACCGAUAUUUUAGAUGACAAUUGAUCCAAAAAAAAAAAAAAGUUUACAAGGGUAAAUAUUUGAAAAGAAAAUCUCGAUCAUUUCUUGAUGUCUGGGAUUUCUGCAUCGUGACCCUUGUUAUAUUACCAUGUUUCACCCAUCAAAUCCCCCAAAAGUCAGACUGAGGCCAUUCACAGCUGUGGGCUGGGGUGGUCACAGAGCGGAACUUCAAGUCAUCUGAAUGUUUCCGCAUUUUUUUAUUAUUAUUAUACUUUGGUUUAAAAAAAAAUAAUAAUGUGGAAAAAAAAAAAACAUACAUGUCUCUCUUGCCAAUGCCAAAUCUGAAUUAAUACAUUGAACACACACACACGCACACACACACAAACACACACAAAUAAUAAGAAAUAAGAAAAAUUUAAAAAUUGAUGGACGGUACUUCGCGGUUUUUCCACUUAUCGCAGCAGGUUCUGGUCCCCGUUAACCGCGAAAUACGAGGGAUCACUGUAUAUCAAUUUAUACGUUGAAUUUUUAAAGGUAUUCCGUUUCAACCUGAAACUAAUCUGGUUAAAACGUGUAAUUUAUCCUGUUAUAACAUUAAACCUAUUAUGUUAAGACGCAAAACCUGAAAGCUGUUACAUUAAAACUUAAAACGUUAUCAUGUUAUAACGUGUUUCUGAACUUUUUUGUUUUGUUUAAUGUAAGAGUGUGACAAUAUCUCGAUACAGCGAUAUAUCGCGAUAUUUUUUAACCCGAUGGGUUAUCGAUAAGCUCCCGCCAAGAAUCGAUACUUUUAUUUAACAUAUUGGCCAUACAAUGGAGUAUGGACGCUGUAAACUGCUCAAUGUUUGUUGAGCAAUUCCUUGGCGGUCCACUAGGGGCGCUCGGGAGUGGCGGUGAGGGUAAAGUGCGCACAAGUUGUCUAGAGAAGAAGAGGAAGCUCCAAGCUGGUUGAAAAAAUAAAAAAGCUCCGUGAGAACGGUGGAGGAAAAAAUGAGAAAAAUAUUGCUACAAAUCACACAUGGGGACACACUUUAGAUUUUACACCAACAAGAAAGGAAGUAAGGUGAACAAGGACUUUGCUGUAUGCAAGAAUUGUCUAAGAAAAAUAAGUUUCACUGGGAGCUGGUGACGUAGUGGACACUGGAGUUUGUGAGCUUUGCUUUCAUCACUUGAGGUGAGGAAGACUGACUGAGCAAGUCUGACAUCUUAAAUGCUGAAGCAGAUAGCGGAAGUGCUCAAACCAAGCAACAAAGGUCAUAUACGAAGAAAAGACCCACCAAUUUUAUUAUUGCCCCACUCCAAGCUCAACUGCUGACACCCACGGCACUUUUUAUUAUGUAUUUUUUUUAAAGAUUUAAAACUUUAAAGAAAUUAAGGGUGCCAUUCAUCAUGAUCUCUCCAAGCGAUAUCAGUGGUCGUGGUUGGUUUCCUCUAUAUGUGCAGGGGCACAAUUUGCAGUAGAUUUAUAUUUUACAGCAAUGUUGCACAGAAAAGGUGUCACUGUUUAAUAAAUGACUUAAACAGUAUUUUUUCUAUUUUUAAAUAUCUUUUUUUUUUUUUCGUUUCAACAGUUGUAUCGUAGAAUGUCAUGUAUCCAAUUUCUGACCAAUAUAUCGAUAUUCGCUGUAUCGUGAUAUAAUCGUUAUCGUGAGCCUUGUAUCGCGAAUCGUAUCGUAUCGUGAGGUGCCCUGAGGUUCCCACUCCUAGUUUAAUGCAAUGCCUUUUGCGAACAUACAUGCACUUUUUUGGCAUUCUAUUUAACUUUAUCUUUAGAAUAGAUAAAGAAUGCAGCUGGCGUUUGAUGACUCACCUCAACGGAAACCAUGCCGAUGAGUUCGAAGUAUUUUCCUUGGGACAUCACGCUUGAGAUGUGCACAAACGCCUGGCACACAGUACGGGAUUGAACAUUGGGUCAUAAGUUACUUUCAAUUACAAAAAUCGUUAAAUUAACUAGAAUUAUGUAACCUAGUAGUGUUUUUUUUUUGCAUGUUACCUGCUUUACUCCUCUUUCAAAGUCUUUCGAAUUGACACCCAGGUCAUAGUAGAGAUCAACAAGGAACAGGUGCACGUUACACCGAAUCCAUGUGAUCGGAUCGGGGAUGCCCACCACCGAGACGUCGGCCUUACGGUCGGAGUUCCCACCCUCCGGGACGUCGCCCCUGGACUGUGAGCAAAACGUUCUGAGCCUAGUGAAGUCGUGCGUCCUGUAGCCUGGCAUCUGCCGGUAGAAUGCCCGCGCAGGACACCGUGGCAAAGUCAGGCCGCUCCUCCGACCGCACAUUCCGGCUGAGUAUACCGCGAGCCCCCCGCAAGUUGCGAGGCGAGUGAUCCGCAGCAUCACAGCGGGGAGGAGUCAACGUUGGGCCGGGUGACCUAAGGCCACACACCGGUAAGAGGGUUGAACCCGACUGAUUUGAACACCUUACACAAGUCAGGCCAUUUUUUUUACCCACAAUGCCUCUACGGUGCUGCAUUCAGGGACGGUCGGACAAAUGACAUUAAAAAGUAAUAGUGUACGUAGUACAGUACCGUAUUGCAUUUAGUCAUCAGUAAUAAUCAUAAUGUGAAUAUGCCAUAAUUCCCUAAAAUAAUAAAAGCAAUUUCAUUUUA